rnacentral:rRNA from 1 species
AACGAACGCUGGCGGCAGGCUCAACACAUGCAAGUCGAGCGCCCCGCAAGGGGAGCGGCAGACGGGUGAGUAACGCGUGGGAAUCUACCCAUCUCUACGGAAUAACGCAUGGAAACGUGUGCUAAUACCGUAUACGUCCUUCGGGAGAAAGAUUUAUCGGAGAUGGAUGAGCCCGCGUUGGAUUAGCUAGUUGGUGGGGUAAAGGCCUACCAAGGCGACGAUCCAUAGCUGGUCUGAGAGGAUGAUCAGCCACACUGGGACUGAGACACGGCCCAGACUCCUACGGGGGGCAGCAGUGGGGAAUAUUGGACAAUGGGCGCAAGCCUGAUCCAGCCAUGCCGCGUGAGUGAUGAAGGCCCUAGGGUUGUAAAGCUCUUUCACCGGUGAAGAUAAUGACGGUAACCGGAGAAGAAGCCCCGGCUAACUUCGUGCCAGCCGCCGCCGUAAUAC